GACGAACGCUGGCGGCGUGCUUAACACAUGCAAGUCGAACGGAAAGGCCCUGCUCUUGCUGGUUUCUCGAGUGGCGAACGGGUGAGUAACACGUGAGUAACCUGCCCCUGACUUUGUGAUAACUUCAGGAAACUGCGGCUCAUACCGCGUAGGAUCUCCUGCUGCAUGUUGUGGGUUGGUAAGUUUCGGCGGUUGGGGAUCGACUCGCUGCUUAUCCGCUUGUUUGUGGGGUAGUUGCUUACCAAGGCUUUGACGGGUAGCCCGCCUGAGAGGGGGGACGGCCUCCAUGGUACUGAGAGAGGGACCAGACGCGUACGGGAGGCAGUAGUGGAGAGCAUUGCAGAGUGGGCGGGAGCCUGAUGCAGAGACGCCGGGUGCGGGAUGACGGGCUUCGAGGUGUAAACAGCUUUCGACUGAGACGAAGAGGGAGUGACGGUAAUGGGUAAAGAAGCAACGGCUAACUACGUG
rnacentral:rRNA from 1 species